UGUAAAUACGACCUUAGAUGUAGUCUCAUGCUAUACUAUGGUCUCAUACUUAGUACAUGUGACAUCAAUAGGUUCCCUUCUCAUCACCGUGGAAGACUCCAGUGUACUUACUGAUGGGACAAGAUGACAUCUCCUCUGGCUAUGGAAGCAGCAGAGUGACGCACAGAGCUGCUGAUCAACUGGUUGCUGACAGGCUGGUCCUGGGGCUGGUUGAGGGUCAACCUCAUCCUCUUCUUCCAAUUCACUAUCAAACUCCGAAUUGACAGAGACAUGAUCCUCAUAUUCUGAAAAUGCUUAAUCUUCCAAAGUGGAAGACGCUCCUUCCACACAAGCUUCUGCCUCUGUAAAAAUGAUUUCUAAGGCCCUCUGAGCAGAGAUCAUUUUUGCCAUACUGAGUGAUUGUGCAGCAGCCCGCCUCUUCACACGCAAACCUUUGUCAGGAGGAACCAGUGCACACAGGUAUCAUUCAUCAAAGUGUGGAGACAGCUAGAUGUAGGGCCUGCAGGUGUGCUCUGCCUCUUGCAGGGUUUACACUGGGGUUGGAUAACACACACUGAUAGUUAGAGUGUUGGGCCAGUAACCGACAGGUUGAUGGUUCAAAUACUGGAGCAGACAAGGU
rnacentral:lncRNA from 1 species